rnacentral:tRNA from 1 species
GUCUGGAUAGCUCAGUGGUCUAGAGCAGUUACCAAGAAAGCGAAAGACUCGGGUUCGAUUCCCGAUCCAGCUA